UAGGAUUGAAGGAAACCCAGAACAUGGCC
rnacentral:piRNA from 3 species